GCCCUGGUCGGAAACCAGGGCCGAAGAAGAGGAG
rfam:Olsenella sp. An285 An285_contig_13, whole genome shotgun sequence.